AGGACGAACGCUGGCGGCGUGCCUAAUACAUGCAAGUCGAACGGUCUUUCUAUGGAAGCUUGCUUCCACUGAGAAGAUAGUGGCGAACGGGUGAGUAACACGUGGGUAACCUGCCCAUAAGAGGGGGAUAACCAUCCGGAAACGGGUGCUAAUACCGCAUAGUUUUCUUGAUCGCAUGAUCGGGAAAGGAAAGACGGCCUUUGUGCUGUCGCUUAUGGAUGGACCCGCGGCGUAUUAGUUAGUUGGUGAGGUAAUGGCUCACCAAGACGAUGAUACGUAGCCGACCUGAGAGGGUGAUCGGCCACAUUGGGACUGAGACACGGCCCAAACUCCUACGGGAGGCAGCAGUAGGGAAUCUUCCGCAAUGGACGAAAGUCUGACGGAGCAACGCCGCGUGAGUGAAGAAAAGGUUUUCGGAUCGUAAAACUCUGUUGUCAGAGAAGAACAAGUUGGAGAGUAACUGCUCCAGCCUUGACGGUAUCUGACCAGAAAGCCACGGCUAACUACGUGCCAGCCGCCGC
rnacentral:rRNA from 1 species